rnacentral:lncRNA from 1 species
AAACAAGCACUUUUUCCACAAAACAUCUAAUAGUCAUAAAUUGCGAAAUCCAAAGUUUAUUACAACACUAUAAAAAAAGAGGGCUCCUAUUCUUAUUGUUUCCCACCACCAACUCUGGAACUGAAGAAUAUCCUAUAUAUAGCCGCCAGCCUCAUCGGUAAUCCCUGGCGAGAAAAGAAAAAAAUCAUCAACAAAAAAUGUCAAAAUCAUCAGCUUUAUCAACAAAUCAACAAGAUGGUGGAGACCUCCGGUCACCGCUCAUCCCGCCGGCGGCGGAUGGAUAUUCAAAACCGAAGAAAGUAACGAUGGAUCAAAUGUUGGAAAAAUACUGCGGCGAGUUUGGG